rnacentral:rRNA from 1 species
UACGAAGGGGGCUAGCGUUGCUCGGAAUCACUGGGCGUAAAGGGUGCGUAGGCGGGUCUUUAAGUCAGGGGUGAAAUCCUGGAGCUCAACUCCAGAACUGCCUUUGAUACUGGCGAUCUUGAGUUCGGGAGAGGUGAGUGGAACUGCGAGUGUAGAGGUGAAAUUCGUAGAUAUUCGCAAGAACACCAGUGGCGAAGGCGGCUCACUGGCCCGAUACUGACGCUGAGGUGCGAAAGCGUGGGGAGCAAACAGGG